ensembl:lncRNA
CUUUUGGAGUCUUAUUUAUUUUCUCCUAAAAACACAGCUGGGAAUGAAAGAUCACUGGCAAUGGGGAUGGGUGUUGGCCAGAUGGCCUUUCUGUCACCCUUCCCAGAGCAACAGGAUUUUUGUAUUUUCAUCUUGUCUUUAACAGAAGAAGAAAAUAAGCUGCGUGUGUUGCUUUUUUGCAGAGUUCGGAUGUACGACACAAUGAUUCAUAUAUACUGGAAUGCAAAGUGAUCACAAUAAGUCUACUUAACACCCAUCGCCUCACAUCAGUUAGUUUUUCUUAUGAUGAGAAUUUUAAAG